UAUUUUUGAGACAGAAUCUUCCUCUUUUGCCCAGGCUGGAGUGCAGUGGUACAAUCUCAGCUAACUGCAACCUCCGUCUCCCGGGUUCAAGAGAUUCUCCUGCCUCAGCCUCCUGAGUAGCUGGGAUUACAGGCGCCCACGACCACGCCUGGCUAAUUUUUUGUAAUUUUAGUAGAGAUGGGGUUUUCACCAUUUUGGCCAGGCUGGUCUCUAACUUCUGACCUUAGGUGAUCUGCCCACCUUGGCCUCUCAAAGUGCUGGGAUUACAGGCGUGAGCCACUGCGCCCGGCCGACGGUGUGGGUUCGAAUCCCUGAACGGCUGCUUCCUGGCUGUGUGGUUUGGAACGAGUUCCUUAAUCUCUGGGGGUCUUGGUUUCCUCACCUGCACUCUCACAGUGCUGUUGCGAGGAUAAGUGAGUCAGUAUGUAUAAAAUGCUCAGAACAGUGCCUGUACAAGCUACAUGAUUGUUUGCGAAAUAAAUAAAAAGUACAAAAUUGUGCCAGG
rnacentral:lncRNA from 10 species